rnacentral:rRNA from 1 species
UACGAGGGGGGCGAGCGUUGUUCGGAAUUAUUGGGCGUAAAGGGUGCGUAGGCGGUUUGGUAAGUCUUGUGUGAAAUCUACAGGCUCAACUUGUAGUCUGCACGAGAAACUGCCGGGCUUGAGUGUGGGAGAGGUGAGUGGAAUUCCUGGUGUAGCGGUGAAAUGCGUAGAGAUGUGGAGGAAUACCGAUGGCGAAGGCAGCCCCCUGGGCCAACACUGACGCUCAUGCACGAAAGCGUGGGGAGCAAACAGG